rnacentral:rRNA from 1 species
CACGUAGGGCGCAAGCGUUGUCCGGAAUUAUUGGGCGUAAAGAGCUCGUAGGCGGUCUGUUGCGUCCGCUGUGAAAACUCGGGGCUUAACCCCGAGCCUGCAGUGGAUACGGGCAGACUAGAGGUAGGUAGGGGAGAAUGGAAUUCCCGGUGUAGCGGUGAAAUGCGCAGAUAUCGGGAGGAACACCGGUGGCGAAGGCGGUUCUCUGGCCCUUACCUGACGCUGAGGAGCGAAAGCGUGGGGAGCGAACAGG